UACAGGGGGUGCAAACGUUGCUCGGAAUUAUUGGGCGUAAAGCGCGCGUAGGCGGCUACUUAAGUCGGAUGUGAAAGCCCUUGGCUCAACUGAGGAAGUGCACCCGAAACUGAGUGGCUUGAGUACCAAAGAGGGUCGCGGAAUUCCCGGUGUAGAGGUGAAAUUCGUAGAUAUCGGGAGGAACACCGGUGGCGAAGGCGGCGACCUGGGUGGAUACUGACGCUGAGGCGCGAAAGCGUGGGGAGCGAACAGG
rnacentral:rRNA from 1 species